rnacentral:rRNA from 1 species
UCAUAUGCUUCUCUCAAAGAUUAAGCCAUGCAUCUCUGGGUAUAAGCAAUUAUACGGCGAAACUGCGAAUGGCUCAUUAUAUAAGUUAUCGUUUAUUUGAUAGUACCUUACUACUUGGAUAACCGUGGUAAUUCUAGAGCUAAUACAUGCUGCGAACCCCGACUCCGGAAGGGGCGUAUUUAUUAGAUCCAAAGCCAACGCCCCCCGGGGCUCCCUGGUGAUUCAUGAUAACUCGUCGAACCGCACGGCCUUGCGCCGGCGGUGGUUCAUUCAAAUUUCUUCCCUAUCAACUUUCGAUGUUUGGGUAUUGGCCAAACAUGGUCGCAACGGGUGACGGAGGGUUAGGGCUCGACCCCGGAGAAGGAGCCUGAGAGACGGCUACUACAUCCAAGGAAGGCAGCAGGCGCGCAAACUACCCAAUCCCGACACGGGGAGGUGGUGACGAAAAAUACUGAUACAGGGCUCUUUCGGGUCUUGUAAUUGGAAUGAGAACAGUUUAAACCCCUUAGCGAGGAACGAUUGGAGGGCAAGUCUGGUGCCAGCAGCCGCGGUAAUUCCAGCUCCAAUAGCGUAUAUUAAAGUUGUUGUGGUUAAAAAGCUCGUAGUUGAACCUUGGGCCUGGCUGGCCGGUCCGCCUCACCGCGUGCACUGGUCCGGCCGGGCCUUUCCCUCUGCGGAACCCCAUGCCCUUCGCUGGGCGUGGCGGGGAGGCAGGACGUUUACUUUGAAAAAAUUAGAGUGCUCCAGGCAGGCCUAUGCUCGGAUACAUUAGCAUGGAAUAAUGAAAUAGGACGCGCGGUUCCGUUUCGUUGGCUAUUGGGACCGCCGUAAUGAUCAAUAGGGACAAUCGGGGGCAUCAGUAUUCGGCUGUCAGAGGUGAAAUUCUUGGAUUUGCCGAAGACUAACCACUGCGAAAGCAUUUGCCAAGGGUGUUUUCAUUAAUCAGGAACGAAAGUUAGGGGAUCGAAGACGAUCAGAUACCGUCGUAGUCUUAACCAUAAACUAUGCCGACUAGGGAUCGGACGAUGUUGUCUCUUGACGCGUCCGGCACCUUGCGAGAAAUCAAAGUGCUUGGGCUCCAGGGGGAG